ensembl:lncRNA
GAAAAGGGGCAUUAGUCACCUCAUGAGGAUAGAGAGGUGAAAAAAAAAUUCCUCUCACGCAUACUCUCCAUAUUGCAUAGUAACAAUUUUAACUGUUCCUGCAGGAUGCUGAUGCUGACAUUAGGAUGGAGUGUAUACUUAAAUCUCUCAUUAUCUACCUUGGAGAACACGUUGAGGACUUGAUAAAAGAAUACAUGGUAUGUCCAUAUCUGUUCUGUCUCUACAUGAGAUGCAGUCUCUUGAUGUAAAUUUGACAACUCUGCUAUUAAAUGCAGUGAUUAAUGUAGGACAGCAACGAUUAAUCAACUCAUCAAGUUAAUAUCUUAGGGUUCUGUAUUGUUUUCUUUCUUUUUUUUCUUGGGCUUUGUGGAACAUUUAUGAAAAUAUUCCACCAUUGAUUUAAUUUAAUGAUUAUGCAAUUCACAAUCUGAUUAGUCAAAUAAUUGUUCUAAUAGUCUGUGACCAAAUAACUAUCAAAAUAGUAGUUUAUUAUGGUCAAAGAUUUAUCAGGUGUGCCAGACUUCAGUUCUUCACUUGUACAUUUUGUUCCAUAUUUUACCUCAAGAUAUCCCAGAAAGAUGAAGCUGAGGAAGAGCUGCAGAGUACCACCAUGGCACUCUUCGUCUUCAGGGACAACUCAAGCCUCCUACAUCAGCCUCGAGACAUCAGGAUAAUCAUUGAUGGUGUGGAAGUCCUGAAUGAGUUGCCUUCUGUGGCAGCUGGAGUGGCAAUGGUCUUUGGACUCUGUUAUGCUCUUAAUAUGGAAUAUCCACGAGGAUUCAGGUUCACCUUUGAGGCUCUUCAAAAGAUUAUGAUGGAGCUUGACUUUAACAAGAUGACCUCUAAGAUUCGCAAACUUAAUUGUGAACUUAACACUGCACAGUAGUGUGUUUGCAUGCAUGUGUGGAUGUGUAUGUGCACAUGCAUGUGCAUGUGUGCUUGGUUAUUUUGCUUGGUUGGCCUGCAGUGGUAUUCUACAUUCAAAAUUUAUAAGAACACCCAUUUGAAAGGGAGAUUUAAGUUGAUUUCAUUGAUACAUGUGUAGAUUUUUUUUUUUUUUACAUUGUACAGGCACAGUGCACAUAUAAACAUUUUUGAGUACUUGCAAAUUGGUUUAAAAAUAGUUUUUAUAAUGGUUUUAUGCCAGUUUUAGACAGGUUGCAGGUUUUAUACUGGUUUUCAAAAGGUUGCAGGUUUUAUAAAACAAACAUUUCUCUAAUCAUUUCUGCCGUAGCACUAAAUCUGUAUAUUACUAAUCCACUGUAUUGAUUAUAGUUAAAAUGGUUUGGAACAAUAAAUAAUUUUGAAAUAAUUGGUUGGCCAAUUGUCUUGUUUUUUAUAGGAAAUGCAGAGCAUUUUUGAACUGAAAUAAAAUGAAAUGUAAAAAAUAUAGUUUGAAUAUAUGUAAAUCAAUUACCUGGCUUCAACACAAACAUAUUAGUUCAUGUUAAUUUAGUUUGAUGUGAAUACAUUAGGUUGGUUAAAUUUCAACAUAUUAGCUUGGUUCAAUAAUUAAAUAUGGUUCUAUGUAAAAAAAGAAAAAAAAUCAAUUUGGAUCAAUGCAAAAUUUAAAGUUUCAGUCAAGUCUAGUAAUAUUGUUUAUAUCAACAUAAAAG